rnacentral:rRNA from 1 species
AGAAUCAACGCUGGCGGCGUGCCUAACACAUGCAAGUCGAACGCGAAAGGGGCGCAAGUCCUGAGUAGAGUGGCAAACGGGUGAGUAACACGUGGGUGACCUGCCUCAGAGUGGGGGAUAACGUCCCGAAAGGGACGCUAAUACCGCAUAACAUCCUGCCUUUGGAAAGGCGGAGAUCAAAGCCGGGGAUCGCAAGACCUGGCGCUUGGAGAGGGGCCCGCGUCUGAUUAGCUAGUUGGUAGGGUAAUGGCCUACCAAGGCAACGAUCAGU